rnacentral:rRNA from 1 species
UACGUAGGGAGCAAGCGUUGUCCGGAAUCAUUGGGCGUAAAGCGCGCGUAGGCGGCCCGAUAAGUCCGCUGUGAAAGUCAACGGCUCAACUGUUGGAUGCCGGUGGAUACUGUCGGGCUAGAGUACGGAAGAGGCAAGUGGAAUUCCUGGUGUAGCGGUGGAAUGCGCAGAUAUCAGGAGGAACACCAAUGGCGAAAGCAGCUCUCUGGGACGGUACUGACGCUGAGACGCGAAAGCGUGGGGAGCGAACAGG